AUUGAACGCUGGCGGCAUGCCUUACACAUGCAAGUCGAACGGCAGCACGGGAGCAAUCCUGGUGGCGAGUGGCGAACGGGUGAGUAAAGUAUCGGAACGUGCCCAGUCGUGGGGGAUAACGUAGCGAAAGUUACGCUAAUACCGCAUAUGAUCUAUGGAUGAAAGCGGGGGAUCGAAAGACCUCGCGCGAUUGGAGCGGCCGAUAAUAGAUUAGGUAGUUGGUGGGGUAAAGGCCCACCAAGCCGACGAUCUGUAGUUGGUCUGAGAGGACGAACAGCCCCACUGGGACUGCGGCACGGCCCAGACGCCUAAGGGAGGCAGCAGUGGGGAAUUUUGGACAAUGGGCGAAAGCCUGAUCCAGCCAUGCCGCGUGCAGGAUGAAGGCCUUCGGGUUGUAAACUGCUUUUGUACGGAACGAAAAGGACUGCCCUAAUACGGUGGUCCCAUGACGGUACCGUAAGAAUAAGCACCGGCUAACUACGUGCCAGCCGCCGCCGUAA
rnacentral:rRNA from 1 species